rnacentral:rRNA from 1 species
AUACGAAGGGGGCUAGCGUUGCUCGGAAUGACUGGGCGUAAAGGGCGUGUAGGCGGUUUACACAGUCAGAUGUGAAAUCCCCGGGCUUAACCUGGGAGCUGCAUUUGAUACGUGUAGACUAGAGUGUGAGAGAGGGUUGUGGAAUUCCCAGUGUAGAGGUGAAAUUCGUAGAUAUUGGGAAGAACACCGGUGGCGAAGGCGGCAACCUGGCUCAUGACUGACGCUGAGGCGCGAAAGCGUGGGGAGCAAACAGGAUUAGAUACCCUGGUAGUCCACGCUGUAAACGAUGUGUGCUAGAUGUUGGGUAACUUUGUUAUUCAGUGUCGCAGUUAACACAAUAAGUACUCCGCCUGGGAAGUACGGUCGCAAGAUUAAA